UGCCCUAUAUGAUGGCACCCUAUGCCCUAUAUGAUGGUACCCUAUGCCCUAUAUGAUGGUACCCUAUGCCCUAUAUAGUGGCACCCUAUUCCCUAUAUGAUGGCACCCUAUGCCCUAUAUGAUGGUACCCUAUGCCCUACAUAGUGGCGCCCUAUGCCCUAUAUAGUGGCACCCUAUGCCCUAUAUAGUGGCGCCCUAUGCCCUAUAUAGUGGCGCCCUAUGCCCUAUAUGAUGGCGCCCUAUGCCCUAUAUGAUGGCGCCCUAUGCCCUAUAUAGUGGCACCCUAUGCCCUAUAUAGUGGCACCCUAUGCCCUAUAUGAUGGCGCCCUAUGCCCUAUAUAGUGGCGCCCUAUAUAGUGGCACCCUAUGCCCUAUAUAGUGGCACCCUAUGCCCUAUAUGAUGGCGCCCUAUGCCCUAUAUAGUGGCACCCUAUGCCCUAUAUGAUGGCACCCUAUGCCCUAUAUAGUGGCACCCUGUUCCUUAUUUUCCCAUAUUCUCUAUUCCCCUAUAGUGCCAAUAGGGUCCCAUUUGGGAUGCACAGUUUGACUGGUUAAAUAUGGACGGUUUGCUUUAGUUGGUAAUUUAGGCGUCAGGGAUGCACGUUUUCACCCUCUAACUCUGUUCUUCAAAGGGGUGAGUGUUGUGGAUGUUUUAUAUAUAUAUAUAUAUAUAUAUAAAAGCCAUUUCUGCUGGUUAUAUGUUUUUCUUUUCAGAUGCUAUUGUUGUUAAUGAAUCCAAUGCUAUAAGCUUUUUCCCACUGCAGUGAUCUUAGCCCCAGGCUAAGACUGACCCCUGGACUAGCUUAUCCUGUCUUCACGGUUCACACAAGCUUUUAGUGAUGACUUGUUUAAACCUCGCUGUCCGCCUGCCUGACCUCGGGGGGGAUAAACUGUUUCACUUUUGAAAUGCGAUCUCGCGCUCCCCUGUACAGAGAAUUCUGUGCACAGACGAGACAUCCACUUUUCUGAUCCAGGCGAAAACAUGCAACAAUAUUUUAUUGUCAUGGAUAGCCAUAAUCCAAGUACAUGUCUAAUAUGAAAACAGAGGAAAGAGCUUGAUGCCCUUCCAGCUGUAGAGUUUGUGGCUUCGGUUGGCUAGCUAAGUGAGAAGAAGUUAGCCAGCCGGUAGAGCAACCAAUUUUAUUAUUAAUUUUAUUAUUAUUUUUCUUAGCCAUAGAAACCAAAUGUUUUUUGCAUAGAUGAAAAUUUUGUUUUUAUUUAUUUUUAGUUUUUAUUUUUGUCCUCUGAUAGAAGGAUGAAAUAGUAUAAAUGUAUUUAUUAAAAUGGCAGAACGCAUCACAAGCGUAUGUAAGUUAAGUGAAUGUGCAGCUUUUGUGAUUGGACAGUAAAGAUUCUAUGCGUUGUUCUUGACCCGUUUUGGUCACUGGCUAUUUUGGCACCGUGUUUCUGGGGCCCUGAAAAGUCGGCUCUAACCCUGCUCCGGAACAGGGCCCAGCUAGCCCUGGGCUAAGGUUGGUGUGAAUAUUCGCUUAGGCCUGGGCUAAAAUCUCCCAUAGCCCAGGCCUGACGAGGCGCUUAGCCCUGGGCUAAGGUUGGUGUGAAUAUUCGCUUAGGCCUGGGCUAAAAUCUCCCAUAGCCCAGGCCUGACGAGGCUCUUAGCCCCGAGUUAAGGUGCAGUGUGAAUGCAUCUUUUCUAUGUGAAAGUUGGAACAAAUGUGUGUUCUUUCAAUCACAAAAUCUCCUUUUGUCAUUAAAGACUUUAUUUUCUCUCUCAACUAUCUCAGUCAUUGUUUCUCUUAUUUUGUGCCUCGUUCUGUUUCUAUAUAUUGUUAUUCUGCCUCCUCACUGAUACAAUGAUUAAAAAAAAACUAUAUUCCUAAGUUUCCUGUACGUUUCCAGCUUUGACAUGACAAGAAGUGUUAUAAGGCAGUAUUAGUAAAGCCACAUUACUACCGGAGGUGUUUUAUAAGGCUUUGUUUAUAACAUGUGUUCAGUACAAAAUGUAAUCCAACUCCUCAUGCCUUUUUUUAAGGUUUGAUGCAUAUUAAAAUAUCUAUGAAUUCAUUA